UAAUACAGAGGAGCCAAGCGUUGUCCGGAUUGACUGGGCGUAAAGCGCACGCAGGCGGGUGCGCGCGUGGGGUGUGAAAUCUGGCCGCUUAACGGCCAGGCGCCAUCCCAUACGGCGCGCCUGGAGUGAUGCAGAGGGCGGUGGAAUUGCCGGUGUAGUGGUGAAAUGCGUAGAGAUCGGCAGGAACACCCAGGGGGAAACCAGCCGCCUGGGCAUCUACUGACGCUGAGGUGCGAGAGCGUGGGGAGCGAACCGGAUUAGAUACCCGGGUAGUCCACGCCGUAAACGAUGGCCACUCGGCCUUUGGUGGCGGAACCUCCGUCGCUGGGGGCCUUAGCAAACGCGGGAAGUGGCCCGCCUGGGAACUACGAGCGCAAGCUUA
rnacentral:rRNA from 1 species